AGAAGCCAUAGUUCAAGAAACUUACCUUUUAAAAUAGAACAAAGUAAUUUAUUACCAAGUUCUAGUCAAAUAAGUAGACCAACAAGCAAGAAGACAUUAUUUGAAGAAGAUCAAGAAAUAAGAAAAAUGAAUAAGCAGAUAGGUGAAUUAAACAGAUUAGUUUCAAAUCUAAGCAAUACGAUAUAAAAUGGAAAGAUUAAUAAUACAAAAUAUAGAUUUAAAACAAAGAAUAAAAGAAUUAGAAGAUGAAAAUGAAGAGCAGCAUGAUUUAAUGCUAGGAAAGGAUAAAGUAAUCAAAAAGCAAGAAGAAUUUGUAAUAAAUCUAUUAAAAAAAUAGAUAGGUUACACAAAGAAUUAGAUAGACAGGCAGACUUAGAAAUUGAGUCUCCUAAUACAGUUUUAUAAUAUAUUCCGCGACAAGAAAACUACUCCAACACCCGUUCGUUUUUAUUUUCUGUCCAAACCACCACCUUCAACCACCCUUCUUCCACCCUCCAUCAGUCCGCCAUUGAGAACCUCAUAGCUCCCAUCGUCAACUCCCUCCCUUCAGUUACUGUCCGAAUGACGCCCCAGUAAACCACCAAACGACCAUCACUUCCAGUUCCCUUCCCUCCCAUGAACAUACACACACACGCACAGUAGGAACGGACAGAACAGUGAGGCACAUGCAUGGAUUUUGAACUUAGAUACAUACAGACAUUUCCAUCCUCUCCUACACACCAAGAUCAACGAAAACUCUAAGCAGAAACCGAUAUGGGUACGAUCUGAAUGUUUGUUCGAGGUCGUUGUCCGAGGUUCCGUUCGACGUCGUUGUUGAAAGUCCGAGCAAAUUUGAGUUAUUUUGGGUUUCAAAAUUUCCGGGCAGAUCUAUUUUGUUCGAGUUCGUCAUUAGUUGGUUUAAGUUUCAUUUUUAUCUGUAUUUUGUUUAAUAUUUUCGGAUCUAAAAGCAGUAUAUGUUUGAUUAUUUUCUUGUUCGUUGGCUAUCAUUUUCUUGUUUAUUUCUUCAGUUGGUUUUUAUUCAUUUAAAAGAAUUUAGUUUUAAUAUAGAAGUGUGUUAGUUUAAUAAAUCUUUCAUCGUGGUUGCAAUAUUGUUAGAUUUAAUUUGAAGUUCAAUUGAUUAUUAAGCUUAGUGAUUUGAAUCUAUUUUAUUGUUGUGUUAAGUCUAAAUUUGGAUUUAAUAGAUGAUUGAGUUUAGUGAAUUGAAUCCAUUUUUUAUUCUGUUUAAGUCUAAAUUUGGAUCUGAGUUAGAAAUUUGAAUUUGUUUGUUUGGUCUGUUUAAGUUUAAUUUGAAUUUGAGAUUAGUGAUUUGAAUAUACUUGCUUGUUACUAUUGUUGAAUCUGAAAAUAUAUUUGCUGUUAAAAAUGCUAUUCAGUCAAAAUAAUUUUUGUUCUUUGUUGUUCAUCAUUUAGUUUGAAUUGUUGGUUUAAUUUGAUUAAGAAUUGGUUAAGUUGCUAUAUUUCGGUUAAUUGAUUUAGGUGAAUUGGUUAUAGCUGAUUGGGGUAGUGUGGUAAUUUCAAUAAUUUCGAGGAUAUUUUUGGAAUUAAAAAUAUGAAGAAUUGUUUAAAAAUAGGGGAAGCACAAUUAUGUAAAGUAAGAAGAGAGAAUAAGACUGUGGGGAGCAUAAUGAUUAAAGUAAAAGAGUGGGGAUUGUGGGUUCCAUGUUUGACUACUUUUUGCUUUAAUAAUAAAAGCUGAAAAGUAAAAGAAAGGAGUGCGAUAAUAAUAAAAGUAGGGAUAAUAAUUAAAGGGAGGAGAGAAAGAGUCUUGCUUUGGUUAUAAAUAAUAGUCGUUUGACACUUAGAAAGAGGGGGAGGGGAAUUUAGAGAGAAUUUUUUUUUAGAACUUAAGUGAGACUUGAAUGGAGAAUAAGAAGAGAGUUGUAUGAAAACUAAAUACUUUUAUUGAUAAAAAUAUUUUACAAUAUUUUGUAUCUGACUCUUAUUCUGAAUGAUCUUCUCUCAAUUUCCGCUCUCUCUUAUUGAGAUCAUCUUACAACUUAUAUAGACAGAAAAGAAAACUAACAAGUGAUCGUCGUUAGGCGACAUAUCACAUCACACUUUAUUUAAGGGAUAAGAUUCCCUCUAUUAUUGUACAAGUGAGUUUUGAAAGGUAACCUCACAACCUUAUCACUUUACGCGUUUACAUCUUGACGCGUUGGGUGAGUGCGUUUAGUCAUUGCCAAUGAUGACUCCUCCUCCAUUACUUUUUUUUACACAUAUUUCACAUGUGUGGUCUUCCUUGAAUUGCUUUGCUAAUCUUUCACAGACAGCUGUCUUUAUGUCUUCAUUAAAUGCAAAUUGAUUUCUCAUCAACUUUUCUAGAAACUGAUUUAACAUCUUGAUAUCUACUUCGCUUGGUUGUUUCGCAUGUUGACUCCAUAUGAUCAGGGACUUUGCUGCAUAGUUAAUUCUUCCUUUAAUUCUAAUUCCUUUAUUAAGAAUUAAAGCAUAGUUAUUUAAGAAUUGCUCCAUCAACUCUUCAUCUUUAUAACUUCCUGUAAACAUAUCUGGAUAGUACUAGAAAAGUUGAUGAGAAAUUUGCAUUUAAUAAAGACAUAAUGACAAUUGCUGUGAAAGAUUAGCAAAGGAAUUCAUGGAAGACCACACAUGUGAAAUAUGUGUGAAAAAAAGAAAGUAAUGGAGGAGGAGUCAUCGUUGACAGUGACUAAACGCACUCAGCCGAUGCGUUAAGAUGUAAACACGUAGUGAUAAGGUUGUGGGGUUACCUUUCAAAACUCACUUGUAUAAUAAUAGAGGGAAUCUUAUCCCUUAAAUAAAGUGUGAUGUGAUAUGUCGCCUAACAAUGAUCACUUGUUAGUUUUAUUUUCUGUCUAUAUAAGUUGUAAGAUGAUCUUAAUAAGAGAGAGCAGAAAAGGAGAGAAGAUCAUUCAGAAUAAGAGUUAGAUAUAAAAUAUUGUAAAAUAUAUUUAUCAAUAAAAGUAUUUAGUUUUCAUACAAGAUAAGCAACUAACUUUUUAGUUGAAUUAAGGAGCAUAAGCAAGAAAGUAAAGAGAGCGUUGUGAAUUUUAAAAGUAUCUCUGGAGCUCUGGAGGACGGUUGAUCAAGGGCAUUAAAAGAUGUGAUUGCGUGUAGCCCCGAGCCCGUUUUAUCCUGUCUUGAGUUUAGAUCAGAAACUCAGGUACGAUUCUUUAUCAGUAUUGUUUACACUCUUUAAUUCAAUCAUUAAAAAGAAUUUAUUAGUUGAUAAAAGAUGUUAGAAUUAAAGCAUAUAUACAAUGAUAGCCAGUAUCAUGUAAUUGGAAUAGUUAAUAAUCAGUUAUGCAUUAUACUUAUAGAUACAGGAGCAUGCAUGAGUCAUAUCACUUCAAACCUAGUAUGUGAAGUAUAUGAAGCAGAAAGUGAAUUCAGAUAUCGAGACUUUUUAGGUCUAGAACACAUACAGAAUAAAAUAUCAGAAGUAGAAAUAAUACUUAGUCCAAAUCUACAGUUCAAGGUAGAACUUUUGGUAGAUUAUCAAGAGAAGGAAAGUGAAGUACUAUUGGGAAUAGACUUCUUAGAACGAUUCGAGUAUAAAAUUUGAAAAGAAGAACUAGUUUUAAAUAUAGAAGGAAAACAAUUAAGAAUUCCUCGAAUAAGACUAAAUCCACAUCAAAUUAGAGAAAAUCUAGUUUAAUGGAUUUAGAAAAUAAUAUCAUUCAGUUAGAAGACAAUCAAGGAAGAUAUAUUCAAGAUAUCUUGUUAGAUAUGAAAAUAGUUAAUCAAGUUAAAAAUAAAGGAAGUUUAGAUAUAAUUGAAACAGAAUGAGUUAAGACAUCUUUGUUUCAAAAAAUAUCUAGAAAUAAUAUUAUAUAUUAUGGUAUUAUGCAAGGAGAACAACCUGUUAAAAUUGAACAUGCAAUUACUAAGUUUCAAGCAUCGUUAGUUGAUAUAAACCAAAUUGGGAAAAUAUUAGCAACUAUUAAAGACGAAGAUAGAAGUAAGAUAGGAUAUAUGCGCAUCAAUACAACACAAAUAAUCCUUAGAUCAACGUUUAGAGAAGGUAUUAAAACACCUGUAAUUCUAACAGUUGAAGAUAAUAGAAUUAUAAAAAAUCAAUUCAAAAAGUUAGGAGAAAUUGAAGGAGAUCUAGGAUAUACAACAAUAAAUUUUGUGUAUCUCUUCAGUUCCCUAUACCACUAAGCACAAAGAAAAUAGAUAAUUGUCUAGGAAUAAUUUGUAAUUUCCUAGAAAAAGAUUUAAUGGAAAAGGUGGUAUUUCUUUUGGUAAUAUGCUACAGAAUAGCCUAUGCAUUAAAUAAUUCUUGUUUAAGUUUAACUUACAAGAAUCGGGAAAAUAUUUAUACAGAAAAAUUAUUUAGUGAAACUACUACAUUAAUAAAAAAUGAUGAAGUAUCAAGAGAGUUUCUUAGAACCCAUAGUUCGGAAAUCUACCCUUUAAGAUAGAACAAAGUAAUUUAUUACCAAAUUCUAGUCAAAUAAAUAGACCAACAAGCAAGAAGACAUUAUUUGAAGAAGAUCAAGAAAUAAGAAAAAUGAAUAAGCAGAUAGGUGAAUUAAACAUAUUAGUUUCAAAUCUAAGCAAUAAGAUAUAAAAUGGAAAGAUUAAUAAUACAAAAUAUAGAUUUAAAACAAAG
rnacentral:lncRNA from 1 species